CUGAGAGUGUCCGAGAGGCCUCUCAGUCUCUAAUUAUAGCUAUAUGCUGUAGUUAGAGAUUAAUGCCACGAUUUAUUUAUCCGAAUUAAUAGUAGGAAAAAUUACUCUGAAUUAACAGAGUACUCAAGAGCCUUGAGCCAGAGUGGAAAAUUCUGAGCCACUGAUCA
rnacentral:sRNA from 12 species